UACAGAGGGUGCAAGCGUUGUUCGGAAUUAUUGGGCGUAAAGGGCGCGCAGGCGGCUCGGCACGUCCGUUGUGAAAUCGCCCGGCUCAACUGGGCGGGGUCAGCGGAUACGGUCGAGCUUGAGCAAGCUAGGGGGUAAUGGAAUUCCCGGUGUAGUGGUGGAAUGCGUAGAUAUCGGGAGGAACACCAGUGGCGAAGGCGGUUACCUGGAGCUUUGCUGACGCUGAGGCGCGAAAGCGUGGGGAGCGAUCCGG
rnacentral:rRNA from 1 species